rnacentral:rRNA from 1 species
AUUGAACGCUGGCGGCAGGCCUAACACAUGCAAGUCGAACGAGUGGCGGACGGGUGAGUAAUGUCUGGGAAACUGACUGAUGGAGGGGGAUAACUACUGGCAAAGGUAGAUAAUACCGCAUACCAUCAGAUGUGCCCAGAUGGGAUUAGCUAGUUGGAGGGGUAACGGCUCACCAAGGCGACGAUCCCUAGGGGGUCUGAGAGGAUGACCAGCCACAUUGGAACUGAGACACGGUCCAGACUCCUACGGGAGGCAGCAGUGGGGAAUAUUGCACAAUGGGCGCAAGCCUGAUGCAGCCAUGCCGCGUGUAUGAAGAAGGCCUUCGGGUUGUAAAGUACUUUCAGCGGGGAGGCGUUAUCCGCAGAUGAAGCACCGGCUAACUCCGUGCCAGCAGCCGCGGUAAUUC